rnacentral:rRNA from 1 species
GGUCAAGCGAAUAAGCGCACACGGUGGAUGCCUUGGCGGUCAGAGGCGAUGAAGGACGUGGCAGCCUGCGAAAAGUAUCGGGGAGCUGGCAACAAGCUUUGAUCCGGUAAUGUCCGAAUGGGGAAACCCACCCGCUUGCGGGUAUCCUGCAGUGAAUACAUAGCUGCUGGAAGCGAACCUGGUGAACUGAAAUAUCUAAGUAACCAGAGGAAAAGAAAUCAACCGAGAUUCCGUAAGUAGCGACGAGCGAACGCGGACUAGCCCUUAAGCUGGAUUGGUUCUAGGAAAACGCUCUGGAAAGAGCGGCCAUAGAAGGUGAUAGCCCUGUAUCUGAAAGGGCCAUUCCAGUGAAGACGAGUAGGGCGGGGCACGUGAAACCCUGUCUGAACAUGGGGGGACCAUCCUCCAAGGCUAAAUACUACUGACCGACCGAUAGUGAACCAGUACCGUGAGGGAAAGGCGAAAAGAACCCCGGAGAGGGGAGUGAAAUAGAACCUGAAACCGUGUGCGUACAAGCAGUAGGAGCUCCGCAAGGAGUGACUGCGUACCUUUUGUAUAAUGGGUCAGCGACUUACUGUUCGUGGCAAGCUUAACCGUAUAGGGGAGGCGAAGGGAAACCGAGUCUGAUAAGGGCGCAUAGUCGCGGGCAGUAGACCCGAAACCGGGUGAUCUAGUCAUGCCCAGGGUGAAGGUGCGGUAACACGCACUGGAGGCCCGAACCCACUCCCGUUGCAAAGGUAGGGGAUGAGGUGUGAUUAGGAGUGAAAAGCUAAUCGAACCCGGAGAUAGCUGGUUCUCCUCGAAAGCUAUUUAGGUAGCGCCUCAUAUGUAUCCUCUCGGGGGUAGAGCACUGUUAUGGCUAGGGGGUCAUCGCGACUUACCAAACCAUUGCAAACUCCGAAUACCGAGACGGACUGUAUGGGAGACACACGGCGGGUGCUAACGUCCGUCGUGAAAAGGGAAACAACCCAGACCCACAGCUAAGGUCCCAAAUUCACUGCUAAGUGGAAAACCAUGUGGAAAGGCACAGACAGCCAGGAGGUUGGCUUAGAAGCAGCCACCCUUUAAAGAAAGCGUAAUAGCUCACUGGUCGAGUCGGUCUGCGGGGAAGAUUUAACGGGGCUAAGCAGUGAACCGAAGCUUGGGGUGCAUACUUUGUAUGCGCGGUAGAGGAGCGUUCCGUAAGCCGUUGAAGGUGGAUUGAGAAGUCUGCUGGAGGUAUCGGAAGUGCGAAUGCUGACAUGAGUAACGAUAAUGCGGGUGAAAAACCCGCACGCCGAAAGCCCAAGGUUUCCUUGCGCAACGUUAAUCGGCGCAGGGUGAGUCGGCCCCUAAGGCGAGGACGAAAGUCGUAGUCGAUGGGAAGCAGGUUAAUAUUCCUGCACCUCGCGUAAGUGCGAUGGAGGGACGGAGAAGGUUAGGUGUACCAGGCGUUGGUUGUCCUGGGGAAAGGCGGUAGGUUUGGAUCUUUGGCAAAUCCGGGAUCCUUUAAGACCGAGCACCGAGACGAGCCUUUAAGGCGAAGUCACUGAUACCACGCUUCCAGGAAAAGCUCCUAAGCUUCAGCUUACGCAGACCGUACCGUAAACCGACACAGGUGGGUAGGAUGAGAAUUCUCAGGCGCUUGAGAGAACUCGGGUGAAGGAACUAGGCAACAUGGCACCGUAACUUCGGGAGAAGGUGCACCCUUUUUGGUGGCUCGUGCGAGCUAUAGCUGAAGAGGGUCGCAGUAACCAGGCCGCUGCGACUGUUUAUCAAAAACACAGCACUCUGCAAACACGAAAGUGGACGUAUAGGGUGUGACGCCUGCCCGGUGCUGGAAGGUUAAUUGAUGGGGUCAGCCGCAAGGCGAAGCUCUUGAUCGAAGCCCCAGUAAACGGCGGCCGUAACUAUAACGGUCCUAAGGUAGCGAAAUUCCUUGUCGGGUAAGUUCCGACCUGCACGAAUGGCGUAACGACAGCGGCGCUGUCUCCACCCGAGACUCAGUGAAAUUGAAAUCGCUGUGAAGAUGCAGCGUUCCCGUGGCAAGACGGAAAGACCCCGUGAACCUUUACUAUAGCUUUACACUGAACGUUGAGUUCGUCUGUGUAGGAUAGGUGGGAGGCUAUGAAACCAUGGCGCUAGCUGUGGUGGAGCCAUCCUUGAAAUACCACCCUGUCGUGCUUGACGUUCUAACCUGGGCCCAUUAUCUGGGUCGGGGACCGUGUAUGGUGGGUAGUUUGACUGGGGCGGUCUCCUCCUAAAGAGUAACGGAGGAGCUCGAAGGUACGCUCAGCGCGGUCGGACAUCGCGCACUGUGUGCAAAGGCAUAAGCGUGCUUGACUGCAAGAUCGACGGAUCAAGCAGGUAGGAAACUAGGACUUAGUGAUCCGGUGGUUCUGUAUGGAAGGGCCAUCGCUCAACGGAUAAAAGGUACUCCGGGGAUAACAGGCUGAUACCGCCCAAGAGUUCAUAUCGACGGCGGUGUUUGGCACCUCGAUGUCGGCUCAUCACAUCCUGGGGCUGUAGUCGGUCCCAAGGGUAUGGCUGUUCGCCAUUUAAAGUGGUACGCGAGCUGGGUUCAGAACGUCGUGAGACAGUUCGGUCCCUAUCUGCCAUGGGCGUUGGAGAUUUGAGAGGGGCUGCUCCUAGUACGAGAGGACCGGAGUGGACGAACCUCUGGUGUUCCGGUUGUCACGCCAGUGGCAUUGCCGGGUAGCUAUGUUCGGAAGCGAUAACCGCUGAAAGCAUCUAAGCGGGAAGCGCGCCUCAAGAUGAGAUCUCCCGGGGCACAAGCCCCCUGAAGGAACCAUGUAGACUACGUGGUUGAUAGGUCAGGUGUGUAAGUACAGCAAUGUAUUGAGCUAACUGAUACUAAUGAUCCGUGCGGCUUGACCAU